ACGCUCGACACCUACGGGAGGCAGCAGUUAGGAAUAUUGGGCAAUGGAGGAAACUCUGACCCAGCAACGCCGCGUGAAGGAAGAAGGUUUUCGGAUUGUAAACUUCUGAUCUAGGGGAAGAAGGAAGUGACGGUACCCUAGGAGAAAGCCACGGCUAACUACGUGCAAGCAGCCGCGGUAAUCUGAGCGGGCUGGCAAGGC
rnacentral:rRNA from 1 species